rnacentral:rRNA from 1 species
GUGAGGAAUAUUGGUCAAUGGGCGAGAGCCUGAACCAGCCAAGUCGCGUGAAGGAAGAAGGAUCUAUGGUUCGUAAACUUCUUUUGCAGGGGAAUAAAGUGCAGGACGUGUCCUGUUUUGUAUGUACCCUGAGAAUAAGGAUCGGCUAACUCCGUACCAGCAGCCGCGGUAAUACGGAGGAUCCGAGCGUUAUCCGGAUUUAUUGGGUUUAAAGGGUGCGUAGGUGGUUUGAUAAGUCAGCGGUGAAAGUUUGCAGCUUAACUGUAAAAAUGCCGUUGAAACUGUCGGACUUGAGUGUAAAUGAGGUAGGCGGAAUGCGUGGUGUAGCGGUGAAAUGCAUAGAUAUCACGCAGAACUCCGAUUGCGAAGGCAGCUUACUAAGCUACAACUGACACUGAAGCACGAAAGCGUGGGGAUCAAACAGGAUUAGAAACCCCGGUAGUCC